CACUCUCUCACUGCUCUCGCUGCUCUCGCGUUUCACUGUUUUAUCUCCAAGUGAAAGGAGAUGCGUGGAGCUGUUGGAAAGCGAGUGAACACACUGAGUGAGGAGAACAAGGAAUAUUAAAUGCCCCACAGUCGCUGCUUUGACCUCUUUACAGCAUACAGCAGAUGCCUGAGGGGCAGCUCGAGCUCUCUGCCCCGGCUCUCCAGAGAUGGGGCACGACAGCACAAAUGAGUUUGACAGACAGCCGUGCUGAAGAAUUGGGUCACGGAGAAGAUAUGCGAAAAAAGGGUUGUUGGUGUUAGACGGGCUGAAACUGCUGAUCACCUGGAAUUUUCAGACACAACAGUCUGUAGAGUUCACAAAGAAUGGUGUGAAAAACAAAAACCGAAAGAAAAAAACACACCCAACUGUGAGCAGAAACCUCAAUGAUGAGAGAGUUUGGAGGAGAAUGACCAGAAAAGAAUGGUUUGCGCUGAGAGGAAGACUCCACUCUUUACAAACGUGAUAAGCAUAAAGCAUUUCACAGAGCUGGAUGGACUACAACAGCAAAAAAAAAACACACUGGGUUCCAGGUCCGGACCAGUUUCUGAAAUACUCAAAGCAGCUCAUCUGUCGCUAACAUGUCACUGAGAACAUAUACUAUAUCCCUGAAUAUAUAAAAGACCACUGCCCAAUCUCCAGAUUUGAACCCUAUUGAAAACCUCUGGAAUGUCAUCAAGAAGAAGAUGGAUGGUCACAAACCAUCAAGCAAAGCUGAGCUGUUUGCUUUUUUGCAAAAAAGAGUGGUAUAAUGUUCCCCAACAGCAAUGUGAGAAACUGGUGGAGAGCAUGGAGCCAAAAUGCAUGCAAAUCAGGGUUAUUUCACCAAAUACUGUUAUUUAGCCAAAGCAUUAACACAAUUUGUUUACAAAUUAUUUGCAUUUUGUUUUAUUUGAGUUAUUAAAGCUCUGCAAAUACUGCAUGAUCUUGGGUUAUUUUGAUGUGUUGUCAUUUCCUUUAAAUAUACACUCUAAAUAACAAUAGUUAUAUUUGGAAUUUAGGAGAAAUAUUGUCAGCAGUUCACAAAAAAUGAAACAAAACUUUGCAGUGGUCUCUUAUGUUUUUCCAGACCUGAAUGUAUGUAUAUAUAUUCAAAUGUUUGAGGUGAAAAUAAACUGAAUCUCUUGACCUAUAUUUGAAUGAAU